AUUGAACGCUGGCGGCGGGCCUAACACAUGCAAGUCGAGCGGGGUUUUCGGACCUAGCGGCGGACGGGUGAGUAAUGCGUAGGAAGCUACCCGAUAGAGGGGGAUACCAGUUGGAAACGACUGUUAAUACCGCAUAAUGUCUACGGACCAAAGUGUGGGACCUUCGGGCCACAUGCUAUCGGAUGCGCCUACGUGGGAUUAGCUAGUUGGUGGGGUAAUGGCUCACCAAGGCGACGAUCCCUAGCUGGUUUGAGAGGAUGAUCAGCCACACUGGAACUGAGACACGGGCCAGACGCCUACGGGAGGCAGCAGUGGGGAAUAUUGGACAAUGGGCGCAAGCCUGAUCCAGCAAUGCCGCGUGUGUGAAGAAGGCCUUCGGGUUGUAAAGCACUUUCAGUAGGGAGGAAGGGUGUUGUGUUAAUAGCACAGCAUUUUGACGUUACCUACAGAAGAAGCACCGGCUAACUCUGUGCCAGCCGCCGCGGUAAUAC
rnacentral:rRNA from 1 species